rnacentral:misc_RNA from 1 species
ACAUAAGUCUAUAGGGAUAGCAUCUAGGCCGCAAGCUCUACAUUUUUAAGUUCAAUAUACUUGAUUUCAAGAGUGCACUUAAGGUUCCUCUCUGUCAAAGGAACAUUAAGGUCUGUAAAAUCAUUCUCAUGACUGCAAUGAACAGAUGAUCAAAGUAGCAUCUACAUAACUUUUUAAUCCCACAAUUUCCUAACAAAACUUGUUGACAUAACUCAUCCAGCAAUAACAAUUGAAAUAUUAAAAACUUUCUUUUUAACUGCCUUUGGGGGCAUUAAACAAUCACAUAAAACUUUAAGUCAAUGUCUACAUA